rnacentral:tRNA from 1 species
UCGACCGUGAGGGUUCGACUCCCUCUAU